GCCAUCAUUUAAAGAAAGCGUAAUAGCUCACUGGUCGAGUCGGCCUGCGCGGAAGAUGUAACGGGGCUAAACCAUGCACCGAAGCUGCGGCAGCGAACGUAUCACUUAAAGCGAUUCAGCGGGUUACGAUUGACGGAGCGAAGCGACGUCAAAGCGUAUACAAAGUCGAGUCGGUUUAAGGAUACGUUCGUUGGGUAGGGGAGCGUUCUGUAAGCCUGCGAAGGUGGCCUGUGAGGGUUGCUGGAGGUAUCAGAAGUGCGAAUGCUGACAUAAGUAACGAUAAAGCGGGUGAAAAGCCCGCUCGCCGGAAGACCA
rnacentral:rRNA from 1 species